ACUUUAAUUGAAGAGUUUGAUCAUGGCUCAGAUUGAACGCUGGCGGCAGGCCUAACACAUGCAAGUCGAGCGGCAGCGACUUAACUGAACCUUCGGGGAACGUUAAGGGCGGCGAGCGGCGGACGGGUGAGUAAU
rnacentral:rRNA from 1 species